GUUCCUAUCGAUUAGUGGUUAAAUCAUCUCGUUGUGGUACGUGUUCCAUUGAUCAAUACUCCGAGAAGCCGCAGGCUCGACUCCUGCUGGGAACA